UACAGAGACCUCAAGCGUUAUCCGGAAUCAUUGGGCGUAAAGCGCGCGUAGGUGGCCAUGUAAGUCCGCUGUGAAAGUCAAAGGCUCAACCUUUGAAAGCCGGUGGAUACUGCGUGGCUAGAGUACGGAAGAGGCGAGUGGAAUUCCUGGUGUAGCGGUGGAAUGCGCAGAUAUCAGGAGGAACACCAAUAGCGAAGGCAGCUCGCUGGGACGUUACUGACACUGAGGCGCGAAAGCGUGGGGAGCGAUCCGG
rnacentral:rRNA from 1 species